rnacentral:tRNA from 1 species
GGGGUGGUGGCGCAAUUGGCUAGCGCGUAGGUCUCAUAAUCCUGAGGUCGAGAGUUCGAGCCUCUCUCACCCCA